rnacentral:rRNA from 1 species
GAUGAACGCUGGCGGCGUGCCUAAUACAUGCAAGUCGAGCGAACGGACGAGAAGCUUGCUUCUCUGAUGUUAGCGGCGGACGGGUGAGUAACACGUGGAUAACCUACCUAUAAGACUGGGAUAACUUCGGGAAACCGGAGCUAAUACCGGAUAAUAUUUUGAACCGCAUAGUUCAAAAGUGAAAGACGGUCUUGCUGUCACUUAUAGAUGGAUCCGCGCUGCAUUAGCUAGUUGGUAAGGUAACGGCUUACCAAGGCAACGAUGCAUAGCCGACCUGAGAGGGUGAUCGGCCACACUGGAACUGAGACACGGUCCAGACUCCUACGGGAGGGAGCAGUAGGGAAUCUUCCGCAAUGGGCGAAAGCCUGACGGAGCAACGCCGCGUGAGUGAUGAAGGUCUUCGGAUCGUAAAACUCUGUUAUUAGGGAAGAACAUAUGUGUAAGUAACUGUGCACAUCUUGACGGUACCUAAUCAGAAAGCCACGGCUAACUACGUG